GUGUGCCUGAGACAAAGGUUUUAUAUAUAUACUAAUAUGUGAUAACUGCUGUUUCUUAUUUGUGUUUGUAACUAUGUGUUGUUUAUUAUAUUUGUAAAAGAAUAUUAUAUUACAAUGAUAUUAUAUUAUGCUCCUUGUGAGCCCAUUUUAUGGAAAUAAAGCAUCUUCUUCUUCUUCUUCUAUAUCGAUUGGGAGAAAACAAAUCGGGGUUACAAACUAAAACUGAGGGAAUUCAAACACAACAAACAUAUUAAUGUUUGUUUGUUUUUGUUGGUUCAUGGGAGCAUAACGUUUUCGUGGAAGCUGCUAAUAUAGGACACCCUUUACUCAAUUAUCCGCUGGUGUGGACCACAGUUGGAAAAG
rnacentral:lncRNA from 1 species